rnacentral:rRNA from 1 species
GACGAACGCUGGCGGCGUGCUUAACACAUGCAAGUCGAACGGAAAGGCCCUGCUUUUGUGGGGUGCUCGAGUGGCGAACGGGUGAGUAACACGUGAGUAACCUGCCCUAGACCUUGGGAUAACUUCAGGAAACUGGGGCUAAUACCGGAUAGGAGCUCCUGCUGCAUGGUGGGGGUUGGAAAGUUUCGGCGGUUGGGGAUGGACUCGCGGCUUAUCAGCUUGUUGGUGGGGUAGUGGCUUACCAAGGCUUUGACGGGUAGCCGGCCUGAGAGGGUAACCGGCCACAUUGGGACUGAGAUACGGCCCAGACUCCUACGGGAGGCAGCAGUGGGGAAUAUUGCACAAUGGGCGGAAGCCUGAUGCAGCAACGCCGCGUGCGGGAUGACGGCCUUCGGGUUGUAAACCGCUUUCGCCUGUGACGAAGCGUGAGUGACGGUAAUGGGUAAAGAAGCACCGGCUAACUACGUG